rnacentral:lncRNA from 1 species
GGGUAGCAUUGGGAGAUAUACCUAAUGCUAGAUGACGAGUUAGUGGGUGCAGCGCACCAGCAUGGCACAUGUAUACGUAUGUAACUAACCUGCACAAUGUGCACAUGUACCCUAAAACUUAAAGUAUAAUAAUAAAAAAAAAAAAAGUGCAGUGUUACUCUACUCUGUAGGAGGGAAGUGGAAGGGAGAACCUAGUAUGAGACUCAGGUCUCCACCCUGCACUUGACUAGGAUGCUGAUUUGCACUCAGGACAUGCAGCCCUUCAAGGCAUCUCAAAUUACAGACAUGAAACAACAGAUGCCUGGAUGAAUUUUACAAGCAGGGCAACAGUGAGGAAGAAGGCUGUGUAGCAAAAUAUACACUUAGACUCCAGACCUAUGGCUUUAUCUUGUCAAUAUCAUUAAUAUUCACGGGACCCAAGCUAAGGCUGAAGUUAGUGAGCCAGCUCUGGGUCUGGCAAUGUACUCUAGUGAGAAGAUCACCGGCCUUGAAGUCAGGCUUGUGUCUGAAUCACAGCUCUGCAUUUUAACUAGCUGUGUGACCUCAGGUGAUCACCAUACCUCUGAGCCUCAAUUUCCCUAUCUGUUAAUUUAAAUAAGGGUGUUGGUAUGUCACCAAAAUCCCUUCUAGCUCUAAGAUUUUAAUUAAUUUGUUAACCAAUGGAAUUGUUGAGUUCCCCCCAAUGUUUUUGCAUAAUCUUUGUUAUAACUGUGUUUUGUUUACAUUAGAAUAGUAGAACAACAACAUCAACAAAAAACCCAAAUCAUCCCCAACUUGAUAUAAUUGCUUCUCUACCCCAGCUGUUGUGACUUUGUGUCACUUAGCUGUUGUCACCCUGCUGAGCUAGAGUUUUCCUUGGUAAAAGAAAAUGAAUGACAGUUUAUGUUUUAAAGGGCUGUUGUGAGAAUUAAAAUAUAUAAAUGGGAUAGUAUAUGUAAAAGUACCUAAUUCAGAAAAUGUGUGACUUCCAUUAUAGGGGGCAAAAGCAUCCUUCCCUUCAUGGUGAGUUGUUGAUACACAUUCAAGUGAAAGCCAGUGGAGAUUUUCAGACCUGUAUUGGUGAUGCAAUAGCAUGUUCAGCACUUCUUGGCCUCUUAAUUGAAAAGCCUAUUGGAGGAAGAGUGGGAUUGCUGGAGGGGCAGAAGCAAUACUCAUUCACAGCAAUGUAUCCCAUUAGGAAAGCUGUAAAUAAAUCCUAAAGUCUAAUCAUUUGAUUAAAGUAAUUAAGAUGGCAUCUUGACUCUUUUGAGGGGUAAAUAGAGCCAAGAUUUUUUUAAAGAUUUUAUAUAUAUAUGCACUAAUAUGUAGUACAUACAUCUAAGUAUAUACACACACGCACAGGUAGAGAUGAAAUUUUUUUUAAAACCUUAGAAACAUGCAUGUUUAGCUAUUUCUUUAGAUGGCUAGCUUCAAAGAAUUUUUUCUCUAGGUCAAAAUUUAUUAACUCAAAUAAUUAUAAAAAUAAAAGUAAGCCACAAAUAUCCCUGUUAAGUGGUUAAAGCUUGAGCUUUGUAAGCAGGGAGUCCUGAGUUUAGUCCUGUUUCCCUCAAUUAUUAGCUCUAUGACCAUUAAGUCACUUAACCUCUCAGUCUGUUUUCUCACUAGUAAUGACUGUUUCACAUUUUAUUGCAGUAUUGUGAAGAGAUGAUGGAUAUAUAAAUGCCAUUUAGCAGAAUAAAAAGCAUUUUUGAAAUUACAGUAAACCAAAUAUAUCUGAAAUUACCUCAUUUUUGUGAUAUAAAGAUGAUAUGAAACUGGUAAGGGAAAGUCUAACCCCUGCAACCGCAAAGGAAAAUUAUUUACUAACUCACUGAAAUCUUGAUUGAAACCAUGAAGAGUUUGUGUGAAUGUAUAUAAGUCAAAUGCAUGUUUUCCCUAUACAGAUAAAACCAGGAUUUUCUUGUGGUGAUUUACCCAGUUUACCUGGUUAUAACUAUAAUGGCAUUGCAUAUUGUGAAAGAAUAUCAAAACCUGAGAUUCCAUUUAUUCACUCACUUAUUAAACAUAUAUAAGACAUCUACCCUUUAUUAUUAUUAGCAAUACUUAAUAUGAGUAAUGAAUGCAAAGAAAAUCAGUCAUGAAUUUUGUAGUCAAGUAGCUUGUGGUCUGGCUGCAGAGAUAAGGUAUGUAAACAAAUAAUAAAAAAUACAAGAGAGUAAGAUAAAUGGUAACAGGAUAGAAAUGGAGUGCCAAGUGUUUGAGUAAAGACUGCUGAGAAGAUCUGGUUGCUGAAGGGCCUUAAAAGUAAAGGGAAUAUCGUGAACAAAGGUACAAGAUUAGGAUGAAGAGUGAGAAGUUGGUGCCAGAAGUUAAAACCACCCCAGAAUGAGGGGACAUUAAAGAAAUUCAAAGGUCUAAAGUGGUUAAGUAAUAAUUCAAAUGGUUCUUUUUUUUUCUGCCCUAGUUUAUAUGACUUACUGCCAACAGUACCCAUGGCUCAGUGAGGCUUCAUACUUAUAGAGGUGGUAGGGUAUGAAUCAGAAUCUCCUUAGAGUCCUGAGGGUGGAGGGCAAAGGCAUAGUUUGAAAAUGCAUACCCUCUUCGGUAUUCUAAUAUCUCUCCUGAUGGGGAAUCACUGAUUGACAUUGUCUCAGAAAUACAUUUUCUGUCCUUUAAAAAUUCUGAAAUAAUAUCAAAUUUUUCUCCCCUCAGAAGCCUACGCCAAAUAAGUGCUGUAAUCUUAGUACAACUUUGUAGUACAGUCAGACUCAUUUGUUGAUGUCUGACUGGCUGAGUUUUUAAAACCUAUUAUUCCCCCUUCCGCCCCAUAUCUGGACAUGCCAGUAAGAAAGCUCAAAUGCUUCCACCUUUGUGCCUGGUGGAAGUUCAAACCACCUAAGAAUCCUCACUGCAGCCCUACCUCCAAGCCACUAGGAAAAGCCAGGCUCCUCUACUUUCCCUGCUCAAGCCAUUUCUGGACCUGCUUGAGAACUCGCUGCUCUCUGUAAAAGCCUCGUGUGAGUGAUAAACCUUUUCAUAUCUAUUUGGUCCUAAUGUAACAUCAGUCCUAACACCUAAACCAAGUUUUGGGUAAGGGGUUCAACCUCUCCUCUGUGGGAUGACUAAACACUUUAUGCAACAAGCAGAGGGUCUAGGAGAUGACCACUACCACUGCAGGGCUCUCCUCUUGCUUUAGUUUGCUAACUGACUCUUGCUGGCUAGAAUUUUUUUUUUUUUUUUUUUUUUUUUGUCACUGCUGGCAAGCUCAUGCUUUGUGCUGUGCUGCUUUGUACUGCGUUCACUGAGCCUUACCAAGCUUCUGUUAUAGAUGUGCUCAGCUAAGUUGGAAUUUUUGAUAAUUGGCAUUUAAGAACAAGAAUAAAGUGGCAUUUAAGAACAAGAUUAAAGUGGCCCUGGGUCAUGUGUCUUGGUCGAGACUUACCUGUGUCUCUGAAUUGUGUUUCUGGAUCCCAGUGUCAGCUGUGACUGUCACGAGGCUCAGAGGAAUGACUCUUACCCUGUGACUUUUGGUUGUUUAUCUCAACCAGGUGUUGCCCUCAUUGUAUGGCGUACUCAAAAGAAACAGUCAUACCCUAUGCAAUAUGCAGGCUGGUUGGUAGUCACUCAUGGACGAAGACCAUGUUGAAUGCUAUGGUGCACACUCCCAAAAGCAGAUGGUUUACUAGGACUUUACAAAAUGCCUUUCUUCCUACUUCUGCCUAUGCCCUAUGCCA